rnacentral:rRNA from 1 species
CGGGUGAGUAACACGUGGAUAACCUACCUAUAAGACUGGGAUAACUUCGGGAAACCGGAGCUAAUACCGUAUAACAUGUUGAACCGCAUGGUUCAACAGUGAAAGACGGUCUUGCUGUCACUUAUAGAUGGAUCCGCGCCGCAUUAGCUGGUUGGUAAGGUAACGGCUUACCAAGGCAACGAUGCGUAGCCGACCUGAGAGGGUGAUCGGCCACACUGGAACUGAGACACGGUCCAG